UACGAAGGGGGCUAGCGUUGCUCGGAAUUACUGGGCGUAAAGCGCACGUAGGCGGCUUUCUAAGUCGGAGGUGAAAUCCUGGAGCUCAACUCCAGAACUGCCUUCGAUACUGGAGAGCUUGAGUCCGGGAGAGGUGAGCGGAACUGCGAGUGUAGAGGUGAAAUUCGUAGAUAUUCGCAAGAACACCAGUGGCGAAGGCGGCUCACUGGCCCGGUACUGACGCUGAGGUGCGAAAGCGUGGGGAGCAAACAGG
rnacentral:rRNA from 1 species